AGGGGUCCUUCCAGCCAAAUGGCUCACCCCUGUGACACGUGUAGCCCGGUCUUGAGAGACAUUUUUGCAUCUGGCUGAGCCACAGGGAACACCAUGUGGGUAGCACCCAUACACCACCAUGUGAAUCAUUUGGAGAUACUUCUGGUUGAACGUAAACCUUGACUGGAUGCAGAAGCAGCAGAGUUGAGAGUAAUUCCUCAGAAGGGAGAAGGGCCAGACCUUGUUGCAGAGCUCCAUUG